rnacentral:rRNA from 1 species
GUGUCAGCCGCCGCGGUAAUACGGGGGGAGCUAGCGUUGUCCGGAAUCACUGGGCGUAAAGGGCGUGUAGGCGGGCCGGCAAGUCAGAUGUGAAAUCCCACGGCUCAACCGUGGAGGGUCAUCUGAUACUGCUGGUCUUGAGUUCGGGAGAGGGUGGUGGAAUUCCCGGUGUAGCGGUGAAAUGCGUAGAUAUCGGGAAGAACACCGGAGGCGAAGGCGGCCACCUGGCCCGACACUGACGCUGAGGCGCGAAAGCGUGGGGAGCAAACAGGAUUAGAUACCCGGGUAGUCCUGGCCGUAAACGAUGGAUGCUAGAUGUGGGCGGGGAGACCCGUCCGUGUCGCAAGCUAACGCGUUAAGCAUCCCGCCUGGGGAGUACGGCCGCAAGGUUGAAACUCAAAUGAAUUGACGGGG